rnacentral:rRNA from 1 species
AUUGAACGCUGGCGGCAGGCCUAACACAUGCAAGUCGAACGGUAACAGGAAGCAGCUUGCUGCUUUGCUGACGAGUGGCGGACGGGUGAGUAAUGUCUGGGAAACUGCCUGAUGGAGGGGGAUAACUACUGGAAACGGUAGCUAAUACCGCAUAACGUCGCAAGACCAAAGAGGGGGACCUUAGGGCCUCUUGCCAUCGGAUGUGCCCAGAUGGGAUUAGCUAGUAGGUGGGGUAACGGCUCACCUAGGCGACGAUCCCUAGCUGGUCUGAGAGGAUGACCAGCCACACUGGAACUGAGACACGGUCCAGACUCCUACGGGAGGCAGCAGUGGGGAAUAUUGCACAAUGGGCGCAAGCCUGAUGCAGCCAUGCCGCGUGUAUGAAGAAGGCCUUCGGGUUGUAAAGUACUUUCAGCGGGGAGGAAGGGAGUAAAGUUAACACCUUUGCUCAUUGACGUUACCCGCAGAAGAAGCACCGGCUAACUCCGUG